UACGUAGGUGGCAAGCGUUGUCCGGAAUUAUUGGGCGUAAAGGGUGCGUAGGCGGCUCUUUAAGUGGGAUGUGAAAUCCCUAGGCUCAACCUAGGAACUGCAUUCCAAACUGGAGAGCUAGAGUGCAGGAGAGGAAAGCGGAAUUCCCAGUGUAGCGGUGAAAUGCGUAGAGAUUGGGAGGAACACCAGUGGCGAAGGCGGCUUUCUGGACUGUAACUGACGCUGAGGCACGAAAGCGUGGGGAGCAAACAGGAUUAGAUACCCUGGUAGUCCACGCUGUAAACGAUGGGUACUAGGUGUAGGGGGCGAAGCCCUCUGUGCCGCAGCUAACGCAUUAAGUACCCCGCCUGGGGAGUACGGUCGCAAGAUUAAA
rnacentral:rRNA from 1 species